rnacentral:rRNA from 1 species
GACGGGGGGUCCUAGCGUUGUUCGGAAUUAUUGGGCGUAAAGCGCGCGCAGGUGGUUUCUUAAGUCUGAUGUGAAAGCCCACGGCUCAACCGUGGAGGGUCAUUGGAAACUGGGGAACUUGAGUGCAGGAGAGAAGAGUGGAAUUCCACGUGUAGCGGUGAAAUGCGUAGAGAUGUGGAGGAACACCAGUGGCGAAGGCGACUCUUUGGCCUGUAACUGACACUGAGGCGCGAAAGCGUGGGGAGCAAACAGG